rnacentral:rRNA from 1 species
AUUGAACGCUGGCGGCAGGCUUAACACAUGCAAGUCGAGCGGGGUGAUGGUGCUUGCACUAUCACUUAGCGGCGGACGGGUGAGUAAUGCUUAGGAAUCUGCCUAUUAGUGGGGGACAACAUCUCGAAAGGGAUGCUAAUACCGCAUACGAACUACGGGUGAAAGAAGGGGAUCACUUGUGACCUUGCGCUAAUAGAUGAGCAUAGGUUGGAUUAGCUAGUUGGCGGGGUAAAGGCCUAACAAGGCGACGAUCUGUAGCGGGUCUGAGAGGAUGAUCCGCCACACUGGGACUGGAACACGGCCCAGACUCCUACGGGAGGCAGCAGUAGGGAAUAUUGGACAAUGGGGGGAACCCUGAUCCAGCCAUGCCGCGUGUGUGAAGAAGGCCUUAUGGUUGUAAAGCACUUUAAGCGAGGAGGAGGCUCUUUUGGUUAAUACCCAAGAUGAGUGGACGUUACUCGCAGAAUAAGCACCGGCUAACUCUGUGCCAGCCGCCGCGGUAA